UACGUAGGCAGCAAGCGUUGUUCGGAGUUACUGGGCGUAAAGGGUGUGUAGGCGGUUCUUUAAGUUUGGUGUGAAAUCUCCCGGCUCAACCGGGAGGGUGCGCCGAAUACUGAGGGACUAGAGUGCGGGAGAGGAAAGUGGAAUUCCUGGCGUAGCGGUGAAAUGCGUAGAUAUCAGGAGGAACACCGGUGGUGUAGGCGGUCUGCUGGGCAGUUUCUGACACUGAUGCGCGACAGCGUGGGGAGCAAACAGG
rnacentral:rRNA from 1 species